GGGGAUGUUUUGGUUUUGACAGCAUUCACAAUCGGAAGAUAAGCACGUCGAGCGUUGUAUCCCCGGCUCGUAAAUCCCGGAGUACAAGCCAUAACUGGCAACAAUAACUAUGCACUCGCUGCGUAAUUUAAGCAUAGCUUAAAACGCUUAAUUGUGGCAGGCCAGGUCCUGUUAUAACGAGUAUCCCGCCGGGUCUUUAAGCCCUCUAUGAAACGGCAAAUGGGGUAUCAUUCAAGAGUGGAUGCGGAGGCGGACUCCUUUAAAGUCUCCUAAGUACUCAGAGGAUAAGCCGUGAGUGGCCUGCCUUUCGGCAGCUCGCGGACGAAAAUUGUAGAAAGGAUAAACGUGUAGAAGCUCUUUGGAUGGUUUGUUUGGACGGCGGUUCGAGUCCGCCCAUCUCCACAA
rfam:Bacteroidetes bacterium GWE2_39_28 gwe2_scaffold_317, whole genome shotgun sequence.